GCUCGAGUAGUUUAUUGAAAAUGAUGAUUUGUGGGGUCAUUGAUGUGGUUUAUCACCUUGGGUC
rnacentral:tRNA from 1 species